GAUGAACGCUGGCGGCGUGCUUAACACAUGCAAGUCGAACGGAAAGGCCCAAGCUUGCUUGGGUACUCGAGUGGCGAACGGGUGAGUAACACGUGGGUGAUCUGCCCUGCACUUCGGGAUAAGCCUGGGAAACUGGGUCUAAUACCGGAUAGGACCACUUCUUGGAUGUUGUGGUGGAAAGUUUUUUCGGUGUGGGAUGAGCUCGCGGCCUAUCAGCUUGUUGGUGGGGUAAUGGCCUACCAAGGCGUCGACGGGUAGCCGGCCUGAGAGGGUGUACGGCCACAUUGGGACUGAGAUACGGCCCAGACUCCUACGGGAGGCAGCAGUGGGGAAUAUUGCACAAUGGGCGCAAGCCUGAUGCAGCGACGCCGCGUGGGGGAUGACGGCCUUCGGGUUGUAAACUCCUUUCGCUAGGGAAGAAGCGUUUUUGUGACGGUACCUGGAGAAGAAGCACCGGCUAACUACGUG
rnacentral:rRNA from 1 species